rnacentral:rRNA from 1 species
UACGUAGGUGGCAAGCGUUGUCCGGAUUUACUGGGCGUAAAGGGCGUGCAGGCGGUCUGUUAAGUGCAGGGUGAAAGCUCCCAGCUCAACUGGGAGAGGUCCUUGCAUACUGGCGGACUUGAGGGGGGUAGAGGAAAGUGGAAUUCCCGGUGUAGUGGUGAUAUGCGUAGAUAUCGGGAGGAACACCUGUGGCGAAGGCGGCUUUCUGGGCCCUACCUGACGCUGAGACGCGAAAGCGUGGGGAGCGAAC